ensembl:lncRNA
UAAAUGUUUGAAUGGUAGUAUGUAUUUUUUUAUUUUAUUUCAUUUUUAAAAAAUCCCAGGAGUUAAAUUUUUUUGGUCUGAUUUGUUUUCAAUGAAAAUGCCUAUUAUAUGUAAGAAAGAGCUUGCUAUUACUUGUUCUGAUCUCAGCUUCAUUUGUCCCAAAUUGGAGGGAAAGUAUUUGCUUGCUUAACUAAGUGCUCUGAGAGCAAUUGUGCUCCUAAGGUAAAGGUUAAAAGAACUGAACUAGUGCCAGGGCUGCUAACAUGCUGGCAAUCUGAGCCCUGCUCUGUUAGAGUGACAUUCUGAACCAGGUUAGAUUCAAGCAAGCAUUAAAUGGAAUGAACUUGGCUGGCAUUAACAUGCCAAUAUAAGUUUAAUUUCUAUUUGAGCCUAUAAAGUUCGACAUGAUGCCUAAUAAUUAUAAUGUCUUUAUUAAUAUAUAAACUUCUUGAGCACUACACGUGCCUGCAGAUCAGUCUAGUGUUUCUGCUAAAGAACUGCAGAAGUCUGGAAACCAUUUCUGGCCUCUAUCUUCAGAUAACAAUGUAAGUACUACCCUUCUGACACUUCCCAGGGAGCAGGUUUCCCCCAAACCACACAAAGCCUCCAUUCAUCACUGGAAUGAAAAUACAGAUUCUGAGCAGAUGCCAUCACCGCUGGUUAGAGGACGAAAGAACGCUCACUGUCGUCUGGUUGGGCAAGAUUAUUUCGGAUACGGCAUGCAUCCCCUUCAUCCUGCUGAUGUUGAAAUGAUCGCCAUCAUAUUCCGAGGAACUGCCCCACGACUUGAUUCGUGCUCAGAAUUCACUUGGGCUCAAUUUCCUAAUCAUUCGUUUCCAUCAAGUUUGCAAGGGUCCAUAACUGUCUAUAGUAAUAAGAAAGAUGGCUCAAGGGAUGAACCAGCUCUCAACGCAGCGUUCACUGAAAAAUGUUUUUAUUUUCCUAUGUUAGUCAUAGCAUUUGUUACGGGGAUUUCACCUUUUGACCAGAAACAAAGCGUGUUUUCUUGGCUUUGA